rnacentral:misc_RNA from 1 species
AAGUCGUAACAAGGUUUCCGUAGGUGAACCUGCGGAAGGAUCAUUAACAAAUUUUCCCAACCAAAAACGUUUGUGAACUGUUACCAAGUCCAUGGUGUGCCCCGUCCUGAGUGCACUCUAGCUGACCAUCAUGUUUAUUUACGUCUGAUUUACCACUGAACUGAGACUUUAUUUUAAAUAAAGACAACUUUUAGCAACGGAUCUCUAGGCUCUC